rnacentral:rRNA from 1 species
AUGCUGAAGGCCCAAAAGGAGGCAUGGGCUUCUACUGGAUGUUCUAUAAUGACAGAUGCUUGGACUGAUAGACGUGGAAGAAGCUUAAUGAAUUUGGUUGCUCAUUCUGCUAGAGGCGUGUGUUUCCUUCGUGACGUUGAAUCUUCAACAGAGGUUCAUGAUGCUAAGUAUAUCUACAGCUUGGUAAUGAGUUGCAUAUCCGAAGUUGGUGCUGAAAAGAUUGUACAAGUGGUCACGGACAAUGCGUCCAACAAUAUGGCGGCGGCAAUGUUACUUAAGCAGAAGCACCCUCAGAUAUUUUGGACCUCAUGUGCAGCUCACACCAUCAACCUAAUGAUGCAGGACAUCGGUAGUAUACCCAUUGUUAGUUCAGCAAUUACCAAUGCUAAGACCAUUACAAAUUUUUUCUAUGCACACACUAGAGUGCUGGCUUUUCUUCGCAAGUAUGCCAAAUGUGAUUUGGUUCGAGCCGGCGCUACUAGAUUUGCAAGUCAUUACUUGAACUUGAAGAGUUUGUAUACAAAGAGAAAGCAAUUGAAGCUACUGUUUGCAUCAAAUGAUUGGGCUGAUAGUUCUUUUGCUAAGAAGCAGUUAGGCAAAUGUGUAUACAAGCUUGUAAUGGACAAUAGGUUUUGGGCCAAGAUCAACCUGCUAGUGAACUAUUUUGAGCCACUUGCAAAUGUGCUUAGGAGGGUUGAUGGAGACACCCCGGCCAUGGGUUUUUUAUAUGGUGAUCUUCUACAAGCAAAGCAAGAAAUAGCAGCAAGGCCGAAUCACAUUGAGAACAAAUAUGUUCCUAUUUGGGAGAUCAUAGAUAGAAGGUGGGAUAACAAGAUGAAAACUGCAUUGCAUAAAGCUGGGUAUUUCUUGAACCCUUUCUUCUACUAUGACAGACAGAAUGAAAUGGCAGAAGAGGAUUUCCUGGAAUCAGUCAUAGAAUGUGCAUCUAUUAUAUACAAAAAUGACACAGAGGUGCAAGACAAUAUUGUAUCCCAGCUUAGUUAUUAUACAGAAGCCAUAGAUUCAUUUGGAACUAAGAUGGCCAUUAGACAAUGCGAGGUAGCACCUAUCAGCCCUGGUAAGAAGACUAUAACUUGCAAAGUUCCUUCUUGA